GCUCGAUUAGUUCAACUGGAUAGAAUGUCUGCCUACGGAGCAGAUGGUCGUAGGUUCGAAUCCUGCAUCGGGUA
rnacentral:tRNA from 1 species